rnacentral:sRNA from 1 species
CCUAUUUCUCAAGCUGCUUGCGUUCCUUGUUUUAUCAUUCUCUCUGUAAAUUGAAACACAGAAAGGGACAGUGACGAUUUUGAUUGAAAGGUCUCGUUCGUCGUAAUAGCCCUAAUCGGGCCUUGCCGACCAAUCUGAUAUAUCACCACCCAUAUUCUGAGCCCCUUUUCUGUUUGAAUCAAUUUUCUUUCUUUUUCGGUUAAUGGCUGUCAGUUUUCACGAAAAAUGAAUGUUUUUGUUUUGCUUAGGUUUGUCUCUGAUGUUGGAUGUGCUGAUCAGAGGUUUGUUUUGUAUGUUUUGGCCAAUGAUUAAAUGAUUGAAUAUAGACAAGCAUAUGUCUGAACUUAUUCAAUGUUGAUUCAUCUAAUCUUCUCUAUGAGGCCACCAUUUCUACUUUUGAAACCCUAAUUGUGAAUCUUUAUAUGAACUUUUGAAGUUCAUUAUCCAUUGA